rnacentral:rRNA from 1 species
UGGGGAAUAUUGCACAAUGGGCGCAAGCCUGAUGCAGCCAUGCCGCGUGUGUGAAGAAGGCCUUCGGGUUGUAAAGCACUUUCAGCGAGGAGGAAGGUGGUGAACUUAAUACGUUCAUCAAUUGACGUUACUCGCAGAAGAAGCACCGGCUAACUCCGUGCCAGCAGCCGCGGUAAUACGGAGGGUGCAAGCGUUAAUCGGAAUUACUGGGCGUAAAGCGCACGCAGGCGGUUUGUUAAGUCAGAUGUGAAAUCCCCGGGCUCAACCUGGGAACUGCAUUUGAAACUGGCAAGCUAGAGUCUCGUAGAGGGGGGUAGAAUUCCAGGUGUAGCGGUGAAAUGCGUAGAGAUCUGGAGGAAUACCGGUGGCGAAGGCGGCCCCCCUGGACGAAGACUGACGCUCAGGUGCGAAAAGCGUGGGGAGCAAAACAGGAUUAGAUACCCCUGGUAGUCCACGCUGUAAAACGAUGUCGAUUUU